CCUACGGGGGGCAGCAGUGGGGAAUCUUCCGCAAUGGGCGCAAGCCUGACGGAGCAACGCCGCGUGAGUGAAGAAGGUCUUCGGAUCGUAAAACUCUGUUGACGGGGACGAACGUGCCAAGGGUGAAUAAUCCUUUGCAAUGACGGUACCUGUCGAGGAAGCCACGGCUAACUACGUGCCAGCAGCCGCGGUAAUACGUAGGUGGCGGGCGUUGUCCGGAAUCAUUGGGCGUAAAGGGAGCGCAGGCGGGCAUGUAAGUCAUUCUUAAAAGUUCGGGGCUCAACCCCGUGAUGGGAAAGAAACUAUGUGUCUUGAGGACAGGAGAGGAAAGCGGAAUUCCCAGUGUAGCGGUGAAAUGCGUAGAUAUUGGGAGGAACACCAGUGGCGAAGGCGGCUUUCUGGACUGCAACUGACGCUGAGGCUCGAAAGCCAGGGGAGCGAACGGGAUUAGAUACCCUAGUAGUC
rnacentral:rRNA from 1 species